GGUCCCGGAGCUCAACUGGAUAGAGCAGCUGCCUUCUAAGCAGCCGGUUGGGCGUUCGAGUCGCCCCGGGAUCA
rnacentral:tRNA from 1 species